rnacentral:rRNA from 1 species
UACGCAGGGGGCUAGCGUUGCUCGGAAUCACUGGGCGUAAAGGGUGCGUAGGCGGGGCUUUAAGUCAGGGGUGAAAUCCCGGGGCUCAACCCCGGAACUGCCUUUGAUACUGAUAGUCUCGAGUCCGGAAGAGGUGAGUGGAAUUCCGAGUGUAGAGGUGAAAUUCGUAGAUAUUCGGAGGAACACCAGUGGCGAAGGCGGCUCACUGGUCCGGUACUGACGCUGAGGUGCGAAAGCCAGGGGAGCGAACGGG